GCUGCUGAUGGUGAUGUGCUGGCGUGCCCCUAGCAGUGAAUGCUUUCCUGUAACAUCUUAUGCUCUUUCUGGCCUCCUACUGUGUUAUGGUUGUGGUUCAUGUGUGUCGUACUCUACUUUAUUAUCUUGGUACUUGCCCACAGAGGAUACAGACAUGGACACUGACUGAUUGGCCAGGCCUCAAACUCCGUUAUUCAGCCUCUCCAUGUGCAAACUUUUCCGGACCCACUAAAUUGGACUCAACACAAC